GACGAACGCUGGCGGCGUGCUUAACACAUGCAAGUCGAACGGAAAGGCCCUGCUUUUGUGGGGUGCUCGAGUGGCGAACGGGUGAGUAACACGUGAGUAACCUGCCCUUGACUUUGGGAUAACUUCAGGAAACUGGGGCUAAUACCGGAUAGGAGCUCCUGCUGCAUGGUGGGGGUUGGAAAGUUUCGGCGGUUGGGGAUGGACUCGCGGCUUAUCAGCUUGUUGGUGGGGUAGUGGCUUACCAAGGCUUUGACGGGUAGCCGGCCUGAGAGGGUGACCGGCCACAUUGGGACUGAGAUACGGCCCAGACCCCUACGGGAGGCAGCAGUGGGGAAUAUUGCACAAUGGGCGGAAGCCUGAUGCAGCAACGCCGCGUGCGGGAUGACGGCCUUCGGGUUGUAAACCGCUUUCGCCAGUGACGAAGCGUGAGUGACGGUAAUGGGUAAAGAAGCACCGGCUAACUACGUG
rnacentral:rRNA from 1 species